rnacentral:RNase_P_RNA from 1 species
GUAGCAGGAUGCUUGUGUCGCUUGCCGAUGGAGGUUGAUCUCCGGAGCGGCAAGAGGAAAGUCCGGGCAACGCAGAGCACCAUACUUUCUAACAGUAAGCUGUCGGUGACGGCAGAGUAACGUGACAGAAAACAACAGCCCGUCUCCCUUUCCGGGGUUCAGGCAAUGGUGAAAAGGUGGGGUAAGAGCCCACCGGGUAUCGUGGCGACACGGUAUGCCGCACGUCUUAUGGGUUGCAAGGCCACAUAUACCGGCGCGUUAGUAUGUCAGACCGUCUUUACGGUGACACUAACAAUGGGUUGCUCGCUCAUUGCCGGGGGGUAGGCUGCUGGAGUGCCGAAGCAGAGCGAGGCACCGAUUAGAUAAAUGACACGGGCACGGCGGCAACCUUCAGGGCUUCGCCCCUGACAGAAGUCCCGCAGUGACAUAACCCGGCUUAUAGUCCUGCUACCUUU